AACGAACGCUGGCGGCAUGCCUAACACAUGCAAGUCGAACGAGACCUUCGGGUCUAGUGGCGCACGGGUGCGUAACGCGUGGGAAUCUGCCCUUGGGUGCGGAAUAACAGUUAGAAAUGACUGCUAAUACCGCAUAAUGACUCCGGUCCAAAGAUUUAUCGCCCAGGGAUGAGCCCGCGUCGGAUUAGCUAGUUGGUAGGGUAAAAGCCUACCAAGGCAACGAUCCGUAGCUGGUCCGAGAGGAUGAUCAGCCACACUGGGACUGAGACACGGCCCAGACUCCUACGGGAGGCAGCAGUGGGGAAUAUUGGACAAUGGGCGAGAGCCUGAUCCAGCAAUGCCGCGUGAGUGAUGAAGGCCUUAGGGUUGUAAAGCUCUUUUACCCGGGAUGAUAAUGACAGUACCGGGAGAAUAAGCCCCGGCUAACUCCGUGCCAGCCGCCGCCGUAAAAC
rnacentral:rRNA from 1 species